CUCUGCUCCAUCUGACCGAGGCUGCAGAUGAUGACAGACUUCUGAUGCUGGCGAUGGCUCAGUUGUAACAAACACACAAUAUAUUUUUUUAUUGAUGGGAACCAUACAAAGGGCAUUAUCAGCAGCACCUCACCUCACCAAAAGGCAUCUUUCACCCAGGAUAAUGGAUGUGAUGAAAUUGGGACACACAACUCAUGAGAUGUCUCUCUGAUAAUAGCAAGGAAAGACUGCUUCAUGCAUCACUUGCUCGUGGAAAGACAUCUCAGGUGGGCUGCAGGGUAAACCAUCGUCCUCUGAAGUGGCUCCCGAGUCUUCUGUGCG